rnacentral:lncRNA from 12 species
CCUGGUCAUCCCCACCUGGGGCCUCUCUCCACCCUGCCCACCUCCCUAUUUCAGCCCAGAUUGGUCCCAUUGAUUUGGGUUUUGGUGGUGCUGUAAUAGUGCUGCUCUCUUGCUCCUUGCGUGGUUGUGGGCUGAUGUCCUGGGCUGUCCCUGUGCCCUGGGAGGUGACAGAGAGGUGUGGGGGCUCUCUCUUCCCUGCUCUGCUCAGGUCCUGGCUGGGGAGGUCCUACCCACACUGGAGGUUCCUUCCAGCACUCUGAGAUUAUAUUAUGCCUGGAUUAUUAUAGGUAAAUUUUACUGAGGAAAAAAUGCCACGCUCAUCUCAGUUUUCCUUCACUUCUCUCAUCUGGUGCAAAGAUGUACAGCUGAGACUCUCCAUGGAAGCCUUCCAGACCAGGAUUUUUUCCCUUUUCACUGAGAGGAUAACAUGCUUUGGAAAGGCUUUAUUUAAAGUCUGUACUGGUG